GCUUCAUUUUCCCUCUUCUCAGACAACCUAAGUAACCUAACAAUACUCCGCCGAUGAAGAACGACCUUGUCCUCAAGGUCGACUCUGAGCUAGCUGAACUACAAAUUUGGGGAACUCACUCUUCAAAUAACCUAGUCUUCCCAGGUAUUCAUCUCAACUAUGUAGCACUCAGAUUAUCCUGAAUUUGAUGUAAUAAAGUUUAGAGCUUUAACUUGAGCUCUUUGUUAAUUACAAAAUGCAUAUUUUCUAGUUUAUGAAAUGGUAAGUACGCAUGUUUUGUUUAUAAAUACUGGUUAUGUCAAGAAAUGCUUUAGUUUUCAAUUUCGACAUGUGGUUUGAAUUCCGAAAUAUGUCUACUUGGCUACAAGUCGCAAUAAAGUAAUGUUAGUUUAAUUUA